CGAAAGUCUUAGUUACAAUCUAUUUCUAAUUUGUAUUUCACACAGAAUGUAAAAAAGACGAUGAAUGCUAUUCCUUUGAAAGAUGCACGAGUUCAGGGGUGUGUGAGCAAAAAGAAUGCGAAAGAGACUAUGAUUGUGACUCUGGGAAAUUUUGCGAUACGAAAUUCUGGACGUGUCAGGAUACAGAAUACUACUACUACUCGUAUUGAAUUUUGCUAAGAAGAGAAAAGCACCAUAAAACGAGACCUGUUGUAAAAGUAAGCAAUAGAAGAUAAAAACAAAUACGAUACAGAGGAAGUAUUGAUGCAAUCAGAGAUAAUGAAUUUGCUUGCUCUGAAUAUUUGUGAUUUUCGAAUCUGUUUGAUGACACUGCUGGAACAAACCGCCACUGAGAUCGAUUGAUCCUGUUUAUUUUAGAUGCAUGAAUAGGUUGAGUCAGGGUGGUCCAACGUUACGAGGUUGGCGAGCAGCAAAAACUUUUGAGGAUGUCUCGCGGGCGCAGUCGGAGAAAACCCAAAAGUGAUCAAAACAGUGCGAGUUGACUCACUUUGAAUAUAUUUGAUAAUUAGCGUUUACGGUUCUGAUCAUUUUUUAGCGGAAAAUAUAUAAAGCUUUUAGGUAUUUUGAAAUUGUUUUCCGUCAAAUAUCGUGUAUUUUGGUAUCUUUUCUCGUGUUUGGUUUUGUAAUGUCGCUUACAAUUACAUUCUUUCGUAACAGAUAUUAAUUGAAAUCAUACCAGACACUGUGGUUCAACGUUGUUGUGGGUAAAGGAAUACGAUUCUUCCUGGUAGCGUGAGCAAGCCUGGGGCUAUCGUCAAAGAACAAUCAAGACCGUCUAAGUUAGGACUCAAGACCCAGCUAAAAAAAAUGGAUCGCGGGGCGCUAAGUCAGCUCUGUUCGUCACUGCUGUCACAUGGUCAACGCUUGAAAAUAGAUUAGUGUUUUCACUAAUAUAAAGCACAAAAUGUCUCUCAAAAUGAGGAGUUACUUGACGGGAGCAGGCACAAAGUUUAGAUGAAAAGCGCGACUAAUCUCAUCGACCUGUCUGCA